UAGGUCCGCUCGUGGAGUAAAGAGAACAUCUAUAUUUAGAGAACCGAGAGACAUCCUAUAGUCCUAUAUAUCCAGAGAACGUUGUGGAACAGUUAUAGAAAAGAAUCAUGUCUACAUUUUUAGUUCCACAUCAGACAAGUUAAGAAGUACCUAUCGACCACCACAGUCCGAAACUCGGGACCAAACAGAGUGUAAAGGGCAUACGUGGUGGAACUGAACGAGUGGAAUCGUGCCAUAGGCCCAAGUGCGUGUAACGAUGCAACUAGCCUGCAACUUUAUGGCAGGCAAUCCUGACCGGAAUCCGUCCGUCGGCCCUCCUGUGACGUAGUACCAGCGGACAGUGGUUCCGGUGGGCGACUGACGUGCCAACCCGAACACGUCCUGCUCGCGCACCAACUGUUCACCGAAAGAAGGCUCGCCGAUGGCCGCCCCCCGUACGUCCUGAAUCCUG
rnacentral:lncRNA from 7 species